rnacentral:rRNA from 1 species
GACGAACGCUGGCGGCGUGCUUAACACAUGCAAGUCGAACGGUAAGGCCCUUCGGGGUACACGAGUGGCGAACGGGUGAGUAACACGUGGGUGAUCUGCCCUGCACUUCGGGAUAAGCCUGGGAAACUGGGUCUAAUACCGGAUAGGACUCCUGGCUUCAUGGUUGGGGGUGGAAAGCUUUUGCGGUGUGGGAUGGGCCCGCGGCCUAUCAGCUUGGGGGUUGGGUAAUGGCCUACCAAGGCGACGACGGGUAGCCGGCCUGAGAGGGUGACCGGUAACACUGGGACUGAGAUACGGCCCAGACUCCUACGGGAGGCAGCAGUGGGGAAUAUUGCACAAUGGGCGCAAGCCUGAUGCAGCGACGCCGCGUGAGGGAUGACGGCCUUCGGGUUGUAAACCUCUUUCAGCUAUGACGAAGCGCAAGUGACGGUAGUAGCAGAAGAAGGACCGGCCAACUACGUGCCAGCAGCCGCCGUAA